AAAGAUCAGCUAUCCCAAGGAGGUCUUUGUACCCUGGUGCCACCUGAACUACCUUGUCUCACCUGGAAAUCUCCAGCUACGUACAUCUAUGGCUUUGCAGAGGAGGAUGGGACUGACUCAGACAUCACACCUGGUGGGUGAAUCCACUCCUUCUCCUGAUAGCUCCAGAGCGAUCGGUGACUGAGUCCUUCACAGCCAUGGAUGGUCUCUUCUGGGUGUGCUGUUCUUGAAAGCCAGCGUGGGGCAGGGACUUCUCAGUCCCCUCAGCCAGAGGAGCCUCCUGACCGUAUCAGAAAGGGAUUGACUGGUGGUGAGGGGCAGCUCCCAGCUCUGCUCCAACACCUCCAUCUCUGCUUCCCCACUCUCCUGACAGCUGUGCAGGGGCCCGUCUGGUCUCCAGGACAGAACUGCAAGAUGUGUGGGACAUCAAAAACCAGCCCACAUCUCACAGCUCACCCUCCUUCCCAGCCGUGAGCUCUGACAUGGAAAUAGGUUUGGGGUGGCUGUGCCAUGCUCCUGCUCUCACCGGCCUCUGCUGCCAGUCUCCUGGCACGUGUCUUACCCCAAGCCCUGGUGUCUGCAUUUGACGGUCUUUUAGAAGCCGUGAUCACCCUGCAAGGCUGGAGGAGGCUGUGGAGCAGCUCAGGGGAUCGUCAGCUGUCAGCGCUUAAAGGAUUUUUCAUGCAUAGGGCUGCCACGCUUCUGCCCGGGAUUUCCCAGGCAGAGAUGUAUGUGUGUGAACUCUGGAGUGGGUGUUAGUGUUGUUACAGCCAGAAUGAUCUAAGGAUAUAAUUGAGGCAAGGUUUGUAUGGAGAGGUGAUACCUCUUAUUGCAACACCUGAGAUGGAUGGGGUAAAAAAAGAAAAAAACAAAAUGAGCUUUUGUGCACGCAAGCUCUUCGUCAGCCUGAACUGAGCUGAACACAUCAGGGGUGUUUCAGAUGAACAGUGGCAGACGGUUCAUGCCCGUAUACUCACGGCUGCUUGGCCAGGGGGUCGCUGGCUCUGCCAGCCCCUUGGAGCAAUUCCCAAGAACUGCUGUCCUCCUGCUCCUCAAAUCUCACAGCAAUACAACUCCCGGGUGGGGCAGGAGGGCAUGUUUGAGAGACCCAGGCUUUAAGUCCCAACUGCAGGGAAUGGGAAUCUUUGUGUCUUGGCUACAAGUGUGGUGGAAUGAGAUUAAUUAAUUUAGCCGCACUGCAUGAAGAGUGCCAGUGUUUACUCACGAGACCACAGAUGAGAUUUCGCAGUACCCAGAGAGGCCUCCUGCCGCUCGGAUGGGCUGGGUAGCUCUUGAUUGCAGGGCACGAGAUGCCCAAGGAGAGCUCUACUGUGUAUAAGCGAUGCUGAGAGAGAAGAGAAAAACAAGAUUUAAGAUGCCCCAAGCAGAGACAAGCUGCAGGCACCACACCCAGACUUUAAGGCAUCCCAUCACACCCCUGCAGAUCAGGGCAAGCGGGCCAGGGGCUCGAGCAAAGACAGAGGAGGCUGUCCAGGCUGGACACCGCAGUGGGAUGAGCCAGACCGGAGGGCUGGGGAGUGGCAAGGAAGGCGAAUGGGAUGGGAGGAAAGCAUGGAUGUUGUAUGCGGGGCUGGUUGCUUCCUUUCACAGCUGGAAACACUAAAGAAUAUGAUAGACCCAAAAGAGACCCCAGGAGAUGAGCAAGACAACACAGGGGACAGCACUUGCGUAGCUUAAUGGAGAAGAUGGACCAGGAGAGAAGAGCUCAUUAGAAAAGGGCAUUGCACGGUGAAGAGAGGAGAGGAUAUAAACCAUGAGAAAGCUGAUAAAAGACAGAAAUUGAAAUCUUCUAGUCCCAAAGAAAGGAUGGAGUACAUUAAUGAGCUCUUUAAUGGCGAGCAGCUUUUAUUCUAGGAGCUAAACGGGCUUCACAGACAGGCAAUUAAUUAAUUGAGCCUCCUCACCAGCCUACACCCUCAACACCACAAGGAAGCAUUUCGCAGAGGAGGAAAGAGGAAGAGAGGAGCAAAAUGACUCGCCCCAGCAAAAAUCAACCUUCAAUGACGCCCUUGUCUGGAGAGCGGCAAGAGGCUUUCUGCUGUACCUCAUCACUGGCUGCCCAUCUUGAAAGGUAAGGGGAUAACCCACCCACAGCAGAUGGCCCCAAGGGCCACCGCUCUCCAGAUACGUCCGUUUAGGGGGAGACACCAGUACCAUUUCAUCUGCGGGAGGAGUCCCAUUGCAUGGUGACACCUGCUCAACUAAGAGCCCUUCACUUCUCAUCCCCUUCCCUGGUCCUGGUGGUGAUGAUCUCCCACCUGGAAUAAGGUGAGGGAUUCUGCUUUUCUGGGUACAUGCCUUUUUUCUCAAGGUACUCGGAACUGAUGAGAACUUGGGCACAGACAGUUGUUGGGACAAAUCAAAACCAAACACUUGGAAACCCAAACACUCCCCCCCCCUCCAAAAAAUAUCCUGUCAACCAGCCAACCACCAACCAACCAAUAAAAAAGUCCUUCAAACCAAACUCCAUCUCUUUCUCUAAAAUCCAUGAUUAAAACCUGGUACAAACAGGUGAAUAUAGAUAUAUAUAUA